rnacentral:tRNA from 1 species
GCGGCCUUGGCGCAGCUGGUUGACGCGAUCGGUUUAGGUCCGGUUUGUCCGUUUGGACUAGGUGGGUUCGAGUCCCACAGGCCGCA